AAAACCCUUACCAGGUCGUGACAUCUUUUGAUCACCUGAGAGAUCAGGUUUCCCCUUCGGGGGCAAAAUCACAGGUGGUGCAUGGUUGUCGUCAGCUCGGGUCGGGAGAUGUUGGGUUAAGUCCCGCAACGAGCGCAACCCCUAUGACUAGUUGCCAGCAUUUAGUUGGGCACUCUAGUAAGACUGCCGGUGACAAACCGGAGGAAGGUGGGGAUGACGUCAAAUCAUCCUGCCCUUAUGACCUGGGGUACACACGUGCUACAAUGGAUGGUACCACGAGUUGCGAGACCGCGAGGUCAAGCUAAUCUCUUAAAGCCAUUCUCAGUUCGGACUGUAGGUUGCAACUCGCCUACAGGAAGUCGGAAUCCCUCGUAAUCGCGGAUCAGCACGCCGCGGUGAAUACGUUCCCGGGUGUUGUACACACCGCCU
rnacentral:rRNA from 1 species